rnacentral:ncRNA from 2 species
GUAAAUGCAAUGAAAGAGGAAAGUAUUUUGACUAAACUUAGUAAAGAGAUAAACACCUAGGCUGGGAGUGUUUUCUAAGAGGUCAUGAGAAGUUCCCUCUGGAGUAACAGAGCUGAAAUUUUACAGUAGGCUUUGACGUCAAAAACGCGUUAAGUUUGUUAGAGGUGGUUUGAUGAUUUUAAAUUGUUAAACUACUAGGGUGGUACCGCGAAACUAUAGCCUUUCGUCCCUAGA